GUCUCGGAUAGCUUAACUGGUAGAGCCUUUGUGGCGUAACCAAAUGAUCUUUCGGGUUCGAGUCCCGGUCUGGGCU
rnacentral:tRNA from 1 species